UACGUAGGGGGGCAAGCGUUGUCCGGAUUUAUUGGGCGUAAAGAGCGUGUAGGCGCCAGACAGGUCCGUUGUGAAAACUCGAGGCUCAACCUCGAGAUGUCGAUGGAAACCGUCUGGCUAGAGUCCGGAAGAGGAGUGUGGAAUUCCUGGUGUAGCGGUGAAAUGCGCAGAUAUCAGGAGGAACACCAAUUGCGAAGGCAGCUCGCUGGGACGUGACUGACGCUGAGACGCGAAAGCGUGGGGAGCAAACAGG
rnacentral:rRNA from 1 species